rnacentral:misc_RNA from 1 species
UACGAAGGGUGCGAGCGUUAUUCGGAAUCAUUGGGCGUAAAGGGUGCGUAGACGGUAUAUUAAGUCUGUUGUUAAAUGCCUCGGCCUAACCGAGGAGUUGCGGUGGAAACUAAUAUGCUAGAGGGUGGAAGAGAGAAGUGGAAUUCUCGGAGUAGCGGUAAAAUGCGUAGAUCUCGAGAGGAACACCAAUGGCGAAGGCAACUUCUUGGUCCAUACCUGACGUUGAGGCACGAAAGCGUGGGGAGCAAACAGG